CCUACGGGAGGCAGCAGUGGGGAAUAUUGCACAAUGGGGGAAACCCUGAUGCAGCGACGCCGCGUGAGUGAAGACGUAACUCGUUACGUAAAGCUCUAUCAGUAGGGAAGUAAAUGACGGUACCUGAGUAAGAAGCCACGGCUAACUACGUGACAGCAGCCGCAGUAACACGGAGGGGGCAAGCGUUAUCCGGAUUUACUGGGUGUAAAGGGAGCGUAGACGGUGCGCCAAGUCUGGAGUGAAAUGCCGCAGCUUAACUGCGGAACUGCUGUGGAAACUGGCGAACUAGAGUGCGGGAAGGGUAAGCGGAAUUCGUGGUGUAGCGGUGAAAUGCGUAGAUAUUAGGAGGAACACCGGUGGCGAAGGCGGCUUACUGGAGCGUAACUGACGUUGAGGCUCGAAGGCGUGGGGAUCGAACAGGAUUAGAUACCCUAGUAGUC
rnacentral:rRNA from 1 species